AGGGCUUAGUCCAUUCUGUCCUUCAAAUAAUAGGGUUUCCCAGAGACAGGCAACCCCAGCCAACCACAUCCCUGCUUUAUCACUAAUGGAAGGGGCUCCCCCGAUGUAUUUUAUGUUCAACCCAUCCCAAGCUGCAACUCUAGUAACCUCUCUCCCCGACCCUGAGAAACAGCCCAUGCCCUUCUUCCGGAGAGUUGCCCAGAUUCGUAAGACAUACUCAGCAGCCUGGCGUGAUCUGUAUAGUCUGUGUGAGAUCAAGGCUGGGAAUGCCUAUUGGCCCAUUAUGGAAAGGAGUUUUAAUGAAGCUCUCCUCACUACCGAUAUGGAUUACCAGUCAGGUAUUACAUUCUGUGAACAGCUUCGGGCCUGGGCCCAAGAUAAACUAGCUGACCAAG